rnacentral:rRNA from 1 species
AUUGAACGCUGGCGGCAGGCCUAACACAUGCAAGUCGAGCGAGCUGCGGACGGGUGAGUAAUGUCUGGGAAACUGCUUGAUGGAGGGGGAUAACUACUGGAAACGGUAGCUAAUACCGCAUACCAUCAGAUGUGCCCAGAUGGGAUUAGCUAGUUGGUGGGGUAACGGCUCACCUAGGCGACGAUCCCUAGCUGGUCUGUGCGGAUGACCAGCCACACUGGAACUGAGACACGGUCCAGACUCGUACGUGAGGCAGCAGUGGGGAAUAUUGCAAAAUGGGCGCAAGCCUGAUGCAGCCAUGCCGCUUGUGUGAAGAAGGCCUUCGGGUUGUAAAGCACUUUCAGCGGGGAGGCGUUACCCGCAGAAGAAGCACCGGCUAACUCCGUGCCAGCAGCCGCGGUAAUUC